rnacentral:lncRNA from 1 species
CACUAUAGCGGAAUACGCAAGAAGAUGCAAACUAGAUAGCAACAGAUUAAACCUCACACGGAAUGCUAGCUAGAAUACGUAAAAAGGUGUAUAGAGUAAACAAGAGAGCGGGAGGUACCAACUCCCGGUGGAAAAACCUGAAAGUAGGCUUUGAUGCCCCCGAGGUCAACUAUUACCAAAUCUUGCACGUCCCGGCAGGUGUUGCUUAGCUCUUGACUCCCAAACGCCGCAAACUGGCCUCGCUGCCGCGACUAGUACCUGGGGAAAGUUUUCCUGAAGCCUAUCAGAACGGGGAGUUCUGCUGAGGAAAAACCUGAAACUAGGCUUUGAUGCGCUCGAGGUCAACUGCUACCAACUCUUGCACGUCCCGGCCGGUGUUGCUUAGCU